GUGCGGAUUCCUGUGGAAACUAUUGGGAUGAGAUCAGAGGCGAGGCAGGAUUGGACUAAAAGAAACGAAUGGGAUAAAAGUCGCUACACAAAGCUGAUGAUUCACCUGCAGGAACUAUUUGGAUGGAGGAGGGCAGGUAAAUGGAGACGACGGAUAUCCCCUGCACAGGAGCACUCGGUCCCGAGGGUGAAAGGAAGCCGGUUUUUGAGAGUGUGGUAAUGACAGCUCAGAAGUGUUAAAAACAGUAGAGAGAGAGAGUGGGCUAGCUGUAUUAAAGUUUGAGUGGGGGCUUGUCAACAAGGUGAGCGCUUAGGAAAUGAAUGCUGUGAGCAGUGGCAGAGUAUGCCAGCAAAAAGGAAUUUAAAACACUCAUGCAUAUGCAUGUGGCCACACACAACCCUGUUUAUGCCGUAACUGAGCUCCAAAACUUUAAAUAACUCACUAUUUAAUGUGUACCACACACAAACCUCACUGACUCAAUGUGUGUCAAAUAUUAUUCCG
ensembl:lncRNA